GGAUAGCUCAGUUGGUUAGAGCAUGGUACUGAUAACACCAAGGUCUCAGGUUCGAGCCCCAUAUGGGGCAGCU